rnacentral:rRNA from 1 species
UACGUAGGGUGCAAGCGUUGUCCGGAAUUAUUGGGCGUAAAGAGCUCGUAGGCGGUUUGUCGCGUCUGCUGUGAAAACCCGAGGCUCAACCUCGGGCCUGCAGUGGGUACGGGCAGACUAGAGUGCGGUAGGGGAGAUUGAAUUCCUGGUGUAGCGGUGGAAUGCGCAGAUAUCAGGAGGAACACCGAUGGCGAAGGCAGAUCUCUGGGCCGUAACUGACGCUGAGGAGCGAAAGCAUGGGGAGCGAACAGG